CCCAGGUGCAAACAGGAAGCCCUGGAAGCAGUUGUCCUAUUUUUAGAAAGACAGGUUUGUUCCCGGCCCUACUGCAUAAAGGGCAAGAGAGAAGUGAGAGGUUCCUGGCGGAAGGCUCCUUGCAAGGGACAGUUCUGAGCUGCUAGGUGCGGCCAGUCAGAUGGCAGGGGCCGCUUUAAUUUGGAUAAGCCUUCUCCGAAAGGAGCCCUGCUGAUGUAAUAACGGGGAAAAUCCCUGUGUGAAAGGCCCUGAAACUGACGGGCUGGGAAACGCUGAUUCCCCGUGGGCAGGAAUGCUUGUCUAAUCGCGACGGCUCUGCACAGCUCCUGCCCAGGUAUGAAGUGCAGCGGCUUGCACCAGUGCUAGGGCGGAGAUGCACUGUUUGCCCGACUGUUUGGGGUGUGUCAGGGGCUCUGCUUAGAACUCGCACAAUUCUGAACGGAGGAGGAGAAAGUCCAGUUACUGAAGGGCAGAAUUUCCAUGCGCCUGCAGCCUCCAAAUCCAGACCACCCCCGAAUUCACCUCUGACAAAAUUCUGGGGACGCUGGGUACCCUGAAUCACCAUGGGCAAUGAGAACAGCACCUUGGACAACCAGAGGACUUCAUCAGCUCAGACGCCAAGGUCCACACAGCCACCGGGGAACAGUCAGAAUAUAAAAAGGAAGCAGCAGGACAUGCCCGGAAGCCCUGACCACAGAGACGCAUCCAGGUAGGAGGCCGGCUCUGGAGGACCGAUGCAGCCCAAGGCCUGCCCUGCUCAUUGCCUGCUCCAGCAUUA
rnacentral:lncRNA from 1 species